CUUUCUUUUUAUACGAUAUAUAGGUACUGUUUUGUGUACAAAUUUUACUAAGAAAAGGGAUGUUUCAAUGUUGAAUCUCCUCUCGCUCUGUGUCUCCUAAACUACUUUCGAUCGAACGCCAUUUGCUCCAAUGUUGUUUUUUCUCGCUCUCCUUACAUCCAGUGAAACGAGCGGUCAGCGGGCUUGGUCCCUGGUUUCGACGUAAAAUAGCUAUGCCUAGAACUUUUUUUAUCAAAUAAAGAGGGAGUGGGAAACGUUUUUAAAACGAAAAAGCAUUUCUAUUUUCGUUCCUUAGACACUGGAUGACCAAAACGUAUGUGGCGCUCUUAGCAAACGAGGCAGCAAAAUUAAUAAAAAUAAUUUUUUUCAUGGUUUGUUGUUGCACCCUUAUAGAGAUUUUGGAUACGGGUCAAAAUAUGUAGCCCACUGAAAGUUAUUCAUAGGAGCACAGCACAUCAUCCAUCAACAAUCCGAAACUGCCACUACGGAAACUAAGAUGGAGAAAAGUUCCACCUGACAUCUCGAUAUGAAAAUUCCAAUGUUGCUCAUUAUGAAGACAAUGUUUUCUUGGUUAAUCUCAGCCUAUACAACGCCUUUAUCAAUGCACAGUACCCUGACUCCUCACAGCAAAUUGGGAAAUUAUCAGGGAAUAUUAUCUUGAUGUCUAGAUAUAAAAAAAAGACAACAUGCCUUGGGAACGAGGCAGGAAAUUGACAACACAAAGCAGUGCAAUUAACAAUCAUUUCUAAAUUUUCAAAAGUUUAGCUUCACACAAUCUGUGCUGUCAGAUUAUGUUGCAUUUCACUUUUAAUCUAUAAGUCAUUCAUAAUCGAAAAAAAGAAAGAAAAGGUGCAUGCUUAAACAAAAUACGUUCUUUACAAAAACAGUGGGUUCAAUUAAUUCUGCAAAACUGCUAAACCAUCAUGUUUGCUUUUUAACCGGGUAUGCAUCAUUUGUUUACUUUUUUUUGGUGUAUGCUGUCAUUGCAGUGCAGCUGUAAGUUUGAGGCCAAGUAACUUGAAAAAAACUUGAAAAUAACAUUAUCUGUGUAGCUACCUGAAACCAAUGUCAUAAGGCUGAUAAGUCAACA